AGAGCGAACGCUGGCGGCAGGCCUAACACAUGCAAGUCGAGCGCCCCGCAAGGGGAGCGGCAGACGGGAGAGUAACACGUGGGAACGUACCCUUCAGUUCGGAACAACCCAGGGAAACUUGGGCUAAUACCGGAUACGUCCGUAAGGAGAAAGAUUUAUCGCUGAAGGAUCGGCCCGCGUCUGAUUAGCUAGUUGGUGGGGUAACGGCUCACCAAGGCGACGAUCAGUAGCUGGUCUGAGAGGAUGAUCAGCCUCACUGGGACUGAGACACGGCCCAGACUCCUACGGGAGGCAGCAGUGGGGAAUAUUGGACAAUGGGCGCAAGCCUGAUCCAGCCAUGCCGCGUGGGUGAUGAAGGCCCUAGGGUUGUAAAGCCCUUUGGCGGGGAAGAUAAUGACGGUACCCGCAGAAGAAGCCCCGGCUAACUUCGCGCCAGCAGCCGC
rnacentral:rRNA from 1 species